GUUAUUGAUGAAAAACAGGCCCUACCCUAGUUAUUGAUGAAAAACAGGUCCUACCCUAGUUAUUGAUGAAAAACAGGUCCUACCCUAGUUAUUGAUGAAAAACAGGUCCUACCCUAGUUAUUGAUGAAAAACAGGUCCUACCCUAGUUAUUGAUGAAAAACAGGUCCUACCCUAGUUAUUGAUGAAAAACAGGUCCUACCCUAGUUAUUGAUGAAAAACAGGUCCUACCCUAGUUAUUGAUGAAAAACAGGUCCUACCCUAGUUAUUGAUGAAAAACAGGUCCUACCAUAGUUAUUGAUGAAAAACAGGUCCUACCCUAGUUAUUGAUGAAAAACAGGUCCUACCCUAGUUAUUGAUGAAAAACAGGUCCUACCCUAGUUAUUGAUGAAAAACAGGUCUUAUCCUAGUUAUUGAUGAAAAACAGGUCCUACCCGAUGUAUAAUGUCGGGCUCGGGUUGGGUAGCAGAGCGCUACCCUAUUGCCGAAAUACAGAAACGGUAUGAAGGUAUGAGAAUCUGGAUAGCGUCCAACUCU